AGCGGCGGACGGGUGAGUAACACGUGGGCAACCUGCCCUGUAGAUUGGGAUAACUCCGGGAAACCGGGGCUAAUACCGAAUAAUCCAUUUCCUCACAUGGGGAGAUGUUAAAAGACGGCAUCUCGCUGUCACUACAGGAUGGGCCCGCGGCGCAUUAGCUAGUUGGUGAGGUAACGGCUCACCAAGGCGACGAUGCGUAGCCGACCUGAGAGGGUGAUCGGCCACACUGGGACUGAGACACGGCCCAGACUCCUACGGGAGGCAGCAGUAGGGAAUCUUCCACAGUGGACGAAAGUCUGAUGGAGCAAUGCCGCGUGAGUGAAGAAGGUUUUCGGAUCGUAAAACUCUGUUGUGAGGGAAGAACAAGUAUGAGAGUAACUGCUCGUACCUUGACGGUACCUCAUUAGAAAGCCACGGCUAACUACGUGCCAGCAGCCGCGGUAAUACGUAGGUGGCAAGCGUUGUCCGGAAUUAUUGGGCGUAAAGCGCGCGCAGGCGGUCCUUUAAGUCUGAUGUGAAAUCCCACGGCUCAACCCGUGGAAGGUCAUUGGAAACUGGGGGACUUGAGUACAGAAGAGGAAAGCGGAAU
rnacentral:rRNA from 1 species